rnacentral:rRNA from 1 species
CGCGUAGGCGGCGCUUCAAGUCGGGUGUGAAAGCCCACGGCUCAACCGUGGAAUAGCACUCGAGACUGAAGGGCUUGAGGACGGGAGAGGAUGGUGGAAUUCCCAGUGUAGAGGUGAAAUUCGUAGAUAUUGGGAAGAACACCGGUGGCGAAGGCGGCCAUCUGGACCGUUUCUGACGCUGAGGCGCGAAAGCGUGGGGAGCAAACAGGAUUAGAUACCCUGGUAGUCCACGCCGUAAACGAUGAGUGCUAGACGUUGGGGAGCCUAGCUCUUCGGUGUCGCAGCUAACGCAUUAAGCACUCCGCCUGGGGAGUACGGCCGCAAGGUUAAA